AAAAAAAAAAAAGAAUGGAAUAAUCCAAGCAAAUGCUAACAAAAAAUCUACUACAACAUAAAGAUAUCAGCAGUAACAAUGGUGACUAGUAAUAAACAGGAACAAGAUUUCCAAAAAAAGGCACAAACUCCAACAACCACUUCUACUCAGCCAACUCUAGCCAAAAACACAUUGGGUGACAACAAACCAAGAACCCAAAAUCAAUUCCAAAGAUAGCACUUGCCAAAACCUUAUUAGAGCAAAUGUCCAAAGAAAGUAGAACUCAAAAGACAAUAAAGGCAUCUCAAAACAGAAGAAACAGAACCUGUGAAGACAGAUCCUGUAAAUGUGACAACAAAAUUAGGGUAUCAAACCUUGAGCCACCUGAAAAUAUCCCAGAUCAAUUAAAAACCCCUUAACUAAGCUGAGGACAUCGAGGUGAUGCCAGAAGAAGAAGUCAAAGGAGCGAAUGGCAGCCCAUGCGCCACCAUUCGCCAGUGCAUAGGAAAGGGGCGAAAUCACAGAUCCUGCACAUAUGGACCAUGCGCCACAGUUCUGGUCGUCGGACUUGGGUGGAUGGCUGAUCAACAGUCCCUCUUCCUGUUCAGGUGGGUGGUGAAGCAAGUAGUUCUCUCUAGGUCAUUCUCCUAGGUAGUAGGCAAUGCAGAGAAACAGGCCAAAACAGGGCAGGUCUAGCAAUAGCUUCUCAACAAUGAAACUUAAAAAACAGGGAAGAAAACCAAGGAACUAGACAGAAAACCUACUAGAAACAAAUCAGGCUCUGAUACCAUGUUAAGAUUUAAGAA
rnacentral:misc_RNA from 1 species